rnacentral:rRNA from 1 species
GACGAACGCUGGCGGCGUGCUUAACACAUGCAAGUCGAACGCUGAAGCUUGGUGCUUGCACUGGGUGGAUGAGUGGCGAACGGGUGGGUACUACGUGAGUAACCUGCCCUCGACUCUGGGAUAAGCCUGGGAAACUGGGUCUAAUACUGGAUACGACAUGUCACCGCAUGGUGGUGUGUGGAAAGGGUUUUACUGGUUUUGGAUGGGCUCACGGCCUAUCAGCUUGUUGGUGGGGUAAUGGCUCACCAAGGCGACGACGGGUAGCCGGCCUGAGAGGGUGACCGGCCACACUGGGACUGAGACACGGCCCAGACGCCUACGGGAGGCAGCAGUGGGGAAGAGUGCACAAGGGGCGGAAGCCAGAUGCAGCGACGCCGCGUGAGGGAUGACGGCCUGCGGGUUGUAAACCUCUUUCAGCACGGAAGAAACGAAAGUGACGGUACGUGCAGAAGAAGCGCCGGCUAACUACGUG